rnacentral:rRNA from 1 species
CCUACGGGUAGCAGCAGUGAGGAAUAUUGGUCAAUGGACGAGAGUCUGAACCAGCCAAGUAGCGUGAAGGAUGACUGCCCUAUGGGUUGUAAACUUCUUUUAUAUGGGAAUAAAAUGUUCCACGUGUGGGAUUUUGUAUGUACCAUAUGAAUAAGGAUCGGCUAACUCCGUGCCAGCAGCCGCGGUAAUACGGAGGAUCCGAGCGUUAUCCGGAUUUAUUGGGUUUAAAGGGAGCGUAGGUGGAUUGUUAAGUCAGUUGUGAAAGUUUGCGGCUCAACCGUAAAAUUGCAGUUGAAACUGGCAGUCUUGAGUACAGUAGAGGUGGGCGGAAUUCGUGGUGUAGCGGUGAAAUGCUUAGAUAUCACGAAGAACUCCGAUUGCGAAGGCAGUUCACUGGACUGCAACUGACACUGAGGCUCGAAAGUGUGGGUAUCAAACAGGAUUAGAUACCCUUGUAGUC